rnacentral:tRNA from 1 species
GCGGGUGUAGCACAAUGGCAGUGCGGUAGCCUUCCAAGCUAUUUACACGGGUUCGAUUCCCGUCACCCGCUCCC